rnacentral:other from 1 species
GAUACCCUGUGGUGUUCGUGUAAUACGGUCAUUGUUUUGAGCCAACACAUAUUAAAUGGGAGCUUAACUCUGACAGCGGAAUAUAUGCCAUCUACGAAUGGAAAUAUGAAACUGCCAGGAGAGCACCCACCUGCGAGAGCAGGUUCAAAACUGCCGGAUAACGGCACCAUGGGGAUUUA